rnacentral:misc_RNA from 1 species
AUCAUGUUCAAGCAGAACCCAUCCCUCAGGAUCUCGUCAGCAUACAGAGUGCGGUCACCAAGCCGCCCCUCGACAUACUUCAAGUAACCACACCGCCGUAGCAGACGGCGCAACACAUCCUCCCUCGAAUUGAUGACCUCAAAGAGAUGCUCCGCCGUCGGCCGGUCCACCUUCCUCCCGGACCGCCGCCAUAUCCUGACCUGCACCUUGUCGCGGAAUUGCCCGUAGGCAUCCUGCAGGAGCGCGGCAAACACGCUUCCCCAGGCGCCGGCUCCGACACCGACAAUCCUCAGAAGGUCUCCGUCCUGUUUCCCGAGGAGGCACCGGAGACUGUCGAGCUUCUCCUCCGCCCCGUUCAGACCGUGGACUGAGCCAUUUGAGUGGGGAGGAGGCGAAUUAUCAGCUCCGUCUACACAGCCACCCAUUUCAAUCUAAAAUCUGUUACUUGUGAUGUAUCGCCCUUUUUAAAUGGGUGUUGGGGUUAGCGAGCUACCCAAGAAAACGUGUCGAGGGAUCCAAUGGGGCGGGAUUUCUUUAUCAAUUGGGUUUGAAUUGGCUGUGGAUGUCGCUUUUGGUGCGGAUUUCAACGGCGGCGACAACGGAGUAGGUGGCAGGGGUGGGUGGGGGAUAGGUGGGGUUCCGGCGACAGAAGGAGGGUGGAGAAGGGCGGCGAGCGGAG